rnacentral:rRNA from 1 species
UACGUAGGGGCCUAGCGUUGUCCGGAAUCAUUGGGCGUAAAGAGCGUGUAGGCGGCUUGUUAAGUCUUGCGUGAAAUCUCGGGGCUCAACCCCGAGCGGCGUGAGAAACUGGCAGGCUAGAGUGCGGGAGAGGAGAGUGGAAUUCCUGGUGUAGCGGUGAAAUGCGCAGAUAUCAGGAAGAACACCCGUGGCGAAGGCGGCUCUCUGGAACGCAACUGACGCUGAGACGCGAAAGCGUGGGGAGCAAACAGG